AUGGCGGCGCCCAGGGAUGGCUCGGGCCUGGACACGGACACGGACACGGACUCGGACAGCAGCGGCGGGGCGGCAGCGCGGUUCCGAGAGGCCGCCUGGGACUGCGUUGCGCAGGCGGCGGUGGCGGUGGAGCCGCGCCGCGGUGGCUUUAAAAAGGAUCGGUUACAGCCCGCUCAGCCUAGCCUAAGGCGUGAGGUGAACGGUCAUGAUGAGGAUGGAAAUGAGCUACAGACGACACCAGAGUUCAGAGCACAUGUUGCAAAGAAACUGGGAGCAAUGCUAGAUGGUUUCAUCACUGUCUUGAAGGACUCAUCAGGACCUUCACAAACUUCUGUGCAACAGUCUGACUCUGCAGAUGAUGGUUUUCGCCUCUUCUCUUCCUCUGUCCCCGGAGACUGUGGGAAAUUGGAGCCUUGCCCUGCAGUAAGGAGGAGACAGCCAUCUAGCUCCAGUGACGUGGACAGUGACCAAGAGUGGCAAAGGUACCAGGAGGCUGCAGUGUCAGCCACAGACAUUCUGAAGCAAAGUGCUUUUCCUGCACCGUCCCAGGAUCCCAGCCAGGAUCAGAGUCAGGGUUAUGUAGAGCACAGCCAGAAAAAAAAGAAGAAAAAGAAAAUUAGGGGAGAGAACAAUAUUAAAGAGAAAAUAAUAGACCCAGCAGAGUGUGACCAGAUCUGCAAAGAUUUGCCACGGUUGGUGUCUGCAAAUGGACAGCAUGAGAGACAGGACAGCAGUCAUACAGAGAACUCACUGUUGCCAGGAGUUGUGAAGAAGAAAAAGAAGAAGAAAAAAAGAGAAUGAAGAUUUUGCUCUGCAAACGGCAGGUGACUAUGAUGGAUGAAGCAUGCUAAAAAAAACCCCAAACAAAACCAAAACUAACAAGAGUUGCUGCAGAUGAGGGAAAAUUAAUUGGCAAAGGUUCCGUUCUAAAAGCUCAGUGGCCUGAGAGUCUAAUUAAGUGACUUCCUAUGUUGUUGGCGUCUCUUGGGGAAGGGAACAUUGUUCUCCUAGCAGAGCGGUUAUCUAUGCUGCUGCUUAUGCAGACCUAGCGUAAAAGGAUUAAAUACUGUGCACGGACUUGCGUCACAGAGGGAUAUAAUCAUAGCUGCAUCGCUCCUGGUCUGUUUCUUCACAUCACGAAACCAAAUCUUGUGUCCUGGAGAAAGUAUAUGAUGAAUUGAAUUUGGUUUACAUGGCAACAGGCAAGAGGAGCCUUCAUUUCCUUCAGGUGGGUUCUGAAUUGCUGCUUUGGACCAGACCUUGCUUAAACAGAGGUUCAGAGCUGUGAAGUACUCAGGACCAUCUUCUGGCCCUUUCUUCUGGAGCUGCUAGACAACCCUCACUGAUGUCAGUUGCACAGCCUGGAGCCGGGCUAGGCAGAGAGCAGGGAAGAUGGCGUCUGCACCCCAAGUACCAGCUCCCCUCCCUGCAGUGAGUUAAAAAAGCUCAGAUGGAUACAGAAGACUUUCUUUGUGUGGCUAAAAAGAAGUAACAAUUUGGAGUCCAUGUAAAAACAUUAAAUGACCUCACUGAAUGCUACAACUGGAUGCCAUGUGAAGAAUCCUUAGCUGAAUAUGGAAACCUUUCAAAUACUGAGGAGGAGGUAAGUAUUCUCUAUCACUUUAUCCUGAAGGGCUUUUUCCCUUGGUUUAUUAAAUUGUCCAUUUUAAACCGUAGGAGCCUGGACAAUUAACAAAACAACAAGUAAACUUACACACUUUUAUCUUUACAUCACUGUAACCUGCUGGACUGUGCUAGUGAAUGGUUCAGCACUCCAUUAAGUAUUACAGGUUCUUCAGUGCAGGAAAACUGGUGAGCUUUUCAGUGUUUCUUAAAUGUUAUAAAUUGCUAGUGGUCAGACUGAAGGAGAUUCCUGUUGUGAAUUAGCCAGUGCCUCGAUACUCAGUGGUGAGGUAAUAAGAACAGCAGAGCUCAAGGGUGGAAGCUGCAAAGCUUUAACCAGCUAGAUUAUAGACCUAGUAGUAGAGCAAGAGCUAAAUUGUGGAGUGCCAUAAUCCAGACAACAUUCUCCUGUAACUGAAUUGUACUCAGGGAUUUUGCCUUGAGGGUGAAUAUUUGAAAGAAAAGGUCUUGAUUUUGCUAUAUCCAUUUUCAUCUAUUACCAGUGCUUAGUAUAUGUUGAUUUUC